rnacentral:tRNA from 1 species
GCCCGUCUAGCUCAGUCGGUAGAGCACGAGACUCUUAAUCUUGGGGUCGUGGGUUCGAACCCCACGUUGGGCG